rnacentral:rRNA from 1 species
AACGAACGCUGGCGGCAGGCUUAACACAUGCAAGUCGAGCGCCCCGCAAGGGGAGCGGCAGACGGGUGAGUAACGCGUGGGAAUCUACCCAUCUCUACGGAAUAACGCAUGGAAACGUGUGCUAAUACCGUAUACGUCCUUCGGGAGAAAGAUUUAUCGGAGAUGGAUGAGCCCGCGUUGGAUUAGCUAGUUGGUGGGGUAAAGGCCUACCAAGGCGACGAUCCAUAGCUGGUCUGAGAGGAUGAUCAGCCACACUGGGACUGAGACACGGCCCAGACCCCUACGGAAGGCAGCAGUGGGGAAUAUUGGACAAUGGGCGCAAGACUGGUCCAGCCAUGCCGCGUGAGUGAUGAAGGCCCUAGGGUUGUAAAGCUCUUUCACCGGUGAAGAUAAUGACGGUAACCGGAGAAGAAGCCCCGGCUAACUUCGUGCCAGCCGCCGCGGUAAAAC